rnacentral:rRNA from 1 species
UAAGAGAUGGCGACCGGCGCACGGGUGAGUAACACGUAUCCAACCUGCCGAUAACUCGGGGAUAGCCUUUCGAAAGAAAGAUUAAUACCCGAUGGCAUAAUAGAACCGCAUGGUUUGAUUAUUAAAGAAUUUCGGUUAUCGAUGGGGAUGCGUUCCAUUAGGCAGUUGGUGGGGUAACGGCCCACCAAACCUUCGAUGGAUAGGGGUUCUGAGAGGAAGGUCCCCCACAUUGGAACUGAGACACGGUCCAA